AUCAAAAUUUCUCAGAGGAUGACCCCACUUCUUGCAUCACAUAAAAUGAGAAACCAGGCCCACCAUCCCAUGUGAGAGUCUCAGUAACCUGAUUAGCCAGCCUGUCAGUAAUAAUAAGGCCAGGUCUUGGAUCUAGGACCCAUCGCUGUGUCAGCUAGUGUGAGAUGACAAGAGAGACUGGGAGAACUAUAACCACAACAGGAGACAAAGGAGUAAAGAGGAUUCGUGUCCAGACCGCCAGACAGACCCCUGCUUUGCUGUUCCAGACAGAAAAACCCACAACGCCAAGCCAGGAAUGUCCAAUCUCACACCAGACGCUCAGGCCCGUCCAGACCAGACUGAGAGUGAUGGGUCCUCUGAACCGUCACCCCAGGCUUUGAGGAAGCCACCUGGGCAUCUGAAAUUGGCACGCAGCCUUUCUAAAUCAGACUCCGACCUGCUGGCUUCCCCUCAUUGUGAGGACGACGGGCCUCUUGGUGGCCGGAGCGAAUCCCUGUCCAACUGUGCUGAUGAGAGGAAGGAAACGGAGCAGAUGCCAUCGUUUGCCUCCGAAUGGGACGAGAUUGAAAAGAUCAUGAGUCUAAUUGCUGGCAUCGAGAUCUCCACGGAGCAUCAACCUGCAUCGGAAGAUGCAGCUGGGAGCCGCGUGCUGGAGCAGUCGGUGGGGGAGUGGCUGGAACACGUGGGCUUUCCUCAGUAUGAGAGCAAACUGGUUCUCAAUGGCUUCGAUGACCUGCGCUACAUGGGGAGUAACGUGAUGGAAGAUGAGGACCUUCAGGGAAUUGGCAUCACCGACCCAGGACACAGAAAGAAAAUCCUUCAUGCAGCAAAAAGCCUCCCAAAGGUGAAAGCUCUGGGGUGUGACGGCAGCCCCUCUCUGUCCUCAUGGCUGGAAACUCUGGGUCUUGGAGAGUAUCUGCACAACUUCCUGUCUAGCGGCUACCGCACCCUGGACUGCGUAAAGAAUCUGUGGGAGCUCGAAAUUGUUAAUGUGUUGAAAAUUGGCCUUCUUGGUCACAGAAAAAGAAUCAUAGCCUCAAUAGCAGAGCGACCAUAUGAGGAAGCACCUUCGAAAUCCAACCGCUUUUCCCAGCUCAAGAUUCAGGACCUGUUGUCUCAAAAUACGUCACCGCUCAGUUAUAUGGAUCCGUACACCAGUCGCUCCAUGGAUAUGUUGCUUCCGUUGGGAGAAUCAGGCAGAAAGAGCCGAGCGUUGGAUCAGGAUGGCAGUAUUUCCCUUCGCUCUUUCGGUGAAAGAUCACGCUCACAUGACCGUCAUGCAGAUCGACAUUCACGUCUAAAUAUUCGUCCUUCCAGCCACUCUGCCACAUAUACCACAGUCUCCACCUGGCACCAUCACCCUGACAAACUUAUCACCGAGUCCUGCGUUUAUGAGGCCAGAUAUUUAGGGUCUGUGAUCAUCCGAGACCUACGAGGAAUUGAAUCUACACAGGAGGCCUGCGCUAGAAUAAGGAAAUCAAAGGAUCACCGGAAAGGUCCCGUCAUAAUCCUGAAUAUCACCUACAAAGGAGUCAAGUUUGUUGACGCAGCCACCAAGGCGAUGGUUGCAGAGCAUGAUAUCCAGAACAUCUCUUGCGCAGCCCAGGAUCCAGAUGAUCUUUGCACAUUUGCAUACAUCACAAAAGAUCUGAAGUCUGGUUAUCACUUCUGCCAUGUCUUCACUACAGUAGAAGUGGUGGGUGUUAUUUUUAUCUAGGGAUGCAGAUGGGGUGGAACAUUUCUGGAAACUUUCCAUGGGAAUUUAAUCUGGGAAUAUUCCAAGUGGGAAUUUAUAGAAAUUUAUGGGAAUUAAUUGAAAAUUUAGGGGAAAUUUAAAUAAACUGUAUCAUAUGCAAAC
ensembl:lncRNA